rnacentral:rRNA from 1 species
GACCUCAAAUCAGGUAGGACUACCCGCUGAACUUAACA